CCUACGGGAGGCAGCAGUGAGGAAUAUUGGUCAAUGGGAGAGAUCCUGAACCAGCCAAGCCGCGUGAGGGAAGGCGGCCCUAUGGGUUGUAAACCUCUUUUGUCGGAGAACAAAACCCGGGACGUGUCCCGGACUGCGUGUAUCCGAAGAAAAAGCAUCGGCUAACUCCGUGCCAGCAGCCGCGGUAAGACGGAGGAUGCGAGCGUUAUCCGGAUUUAUUGGGGUUAAAGGGUGCGUAGGCGGUCCGGUAAGGCAGCGGGAAAAUUGCGGGGCUCAACCCUGUCGAGCCGUUGAAACUGGCAGACUUGAGUUGGCGAGAAGUACGCGGAAUGCGCGGUGUAGCGGUGAAAUGCAUAGAGAUCGCGCAGAACUCCGAUUGCGAAGGCAGCGUACCGGCGCCAGACUGACGCUGAGGCACGAAAGCGUGGGGAUCGAACAGGAUUAGAUACCCUUGUAGUC
rnacentral:rRNA from 1 species